AGAGAACUACUAGCUUGUAGCUUAAAACUCAAAGGACUUGGCGGUGUCCACACCCUACUAGAGGAGCCUGUUCUAUAAGCGAUAAUCCACGAUAAACCUUACCACCCUUUGCCAUAUCAGCCUAUAUACCGCCGUCUCCAGCUUACCUUAUGAGAGCUAAAAAGUAAGCAAAAUAGCCCUCUACAGCUAGAAAGUCAGGUCCAGGUGUAGCCAAUAGAGUGGAUGUAAUGGGCUACAUUUUCUAAAAUAGAAAUAUUCACGAACAGACCCUUGAAACAGGGACUAAGAAGCAGGAUUU
rnacentral:rRNA from 1 species